GACGAACGCUGGCGGCGUGCUUAACACAUGCAAGUCGAACGGAAAGGCCCUGCUUGCAGGGUACUCGAGUGGCGAACGGGUGAGUAACACGUGGGUGAUCUGCCCUGCACUUCGGGAUAAGCCUGGGAUACUGGGUCUAAUACCGGAUAGGUGCCCUUUUUAGUGUGAUGGUUGGAAAGUUUUUUCGGUGUAGGAUGAUCUCGCGGCCUAGCAGCUUGUUGGUGGGGUAGUGGCCUACCAAGGCGGCGACGGGUAGCCGGCCUGAGAGGGUGGACGGCCACAUUGGGACUGAGUUACGGCCCAGACUCCUACGGGAGGCAGCAGUGGGGAAUAUUGCACAAUGGGCGCAAGCCUGAUGCAGCGACGCCGCGUGGGGGAGGACGGCCUUCGGGUUGUAAACUCCUUUCGCUAGGGACGAAGCUUUUUGUGACGGUACCUAGAUAAGAAGCACCGGCUAACUACGUG
rnacentral:rRNA from 1 species